AACCUGGUUGAUCCUGCCAGUAGUCAUAUGCUUGUCUCAAAGAUUAAGCCAUGCAUGUCUCAGUGUAAGCUUUUAUACGGCGAAACUGCGAAUGGCCAAUUAAAACAAUUAUAGUUCAUCUGAUGGUCAUUCAUGACAUGGAUAACUGCGGUAAUUCUAGAGCUAAUGCAUGCGCCCAAACCCGACUUUGUGGAAGGGUUGUGUUUAUCAGAUACAGAGCCAACCCAGGCUAUGCCUGGUAUUGUGGCGAUUCAUAAUAACCGAACGAAUCGCAUGGCUUCAGCUGGCGAUGAAUCACUCAAGUUUCUGACCUAUCAGCUUCCGACGGUAGGGUACUGGCCUACCGUGGCAAUGACGGGUAACGGAGAAUUAGGGUUCGACUCAGGAGAGGAAGCCUGAGAAACGGCUACCACAUCUAAGGAAGGCCGCAGGCGCGCAAAUUACCCAAUCCUGACACAGGGAGGUGGUGACAAGAAAUAACAACACAGGGCAUCCAUGUCUUGUAACUGGAAUGGGUAGAAUAUAUGAAUCCCUUUCCGAGUAUCAAUUGGAGGGCAAGUCUGGUGCCAGCAGCCGCGGUAAUUCCAGCUCCAAUAGC
rnacentral:rRNA from 1 species